rnacentral:rRNA from 1 species
CCUACGGGAGGCAGCAGUGGGGGAUAUUGCACAAUGGGGGGAACCCUGAUGCAGCGACGCCGCGUGGGUGAAGAAGCGCCUCGGCGCGUAAAGCCCUGUCAGCAGGGAAGAAAAUGACGGUACCUGAAGAAGAAGCACCGGCUAACUACGUGCCAGCAGCCGCGUUAAUACGUAGGGGGCACGCGUUAUCCUGAUUGACUGGGUGUAAAGGGGGCGCAGACGGCGAUGCAAGCCAGGAGUGAAAGCGCGGGGCCCAACCCCGGGACUGCUCUUGGAACUGCGUGGCUGGAGUGCAGGAGGGGCAGGCGGAAUUCCUGGUGUAGCGGUGAAAUGCGUAGAUAUCAGGAGGAACACCGGUGGCGAAGGCGGCCUGCUGGACUGCAACUGACGUUGAGGCCCGAAAGCGUGGGGAGCAAACAGGAUUAGAUACCCGAGUAGUC